GCCAAAAGGUUAAAAAAAAAAAAAACUAAUAACCCCAAUGCCAAUAACCCCUGCAUCCUAAUAACCCUAAAACUUGGCCAAAAGCUUCGCGAGACUCUCUCACUCUCCCCUCUUACCGUCAUUCUUAUCUAUGCCAUUUCUUGAAGAAUGUCACAAAACGACCGCCCGGAGGCGCCGUCCCCGGCGACAGUGGCAAACGGCUCCGCGGCGGCGAAGGAGGAGAAUCCAGUUGCGAGGGCGUUGGUUUCUUCGAGCAAGGCUGAGGCUGAAUCCGAACAAGGAGCACAAAGCGGAGGAGUACGAAGACUUGCAAUUGAUGUACUGCCCAACGGUUUUCACCGCGCUGGAGAGGUACCUUCCGCCGAACAUGCUCAAUGCGCGACGAACACAAGAUUUCUCCAACUGAAAUUUGCGGUGCGCUUGGAUCUAAUCAACUUCUUCCGAGAAUUUAUAUCGCUUUUGUGUUGUUGGUCGGAAUUCUUCUGUUUAGUUCUCUUUUCGUGAACGUGUCUUGAAUCUGGUUGUGUUUGGAAGCCCCUUCUUUCACUAAUUUCUCCAACUGAAAUUCGCGGUGCGCUUGGAUCUGUUAAUCAACUUUUUAUAUGUAUUGGGAUUCUUGCAGCAUUAGUAGCCGGUUUGCCUCUUGCAGGAAAUCCUAUAUGACAAUGUUUGGAAUUUUGGUUAUGCAUGACUUAACAGCAGCAAGUCAAGGUUCUUCUGAACCUGAAGCAAAAUGGUUUGAUCUUUUUAGUAGCCGGUAUCGGAAAGUUGUCAGUGUUGGAGCAGCACUUUUCUUGUUCCAGCAGUUUGCCACAUCAAUGGAAGAUUUGGAACCUUUACGGCUGUUCCAAUACACCAUAUGGUUAGUCUUAUGAGAUCUCUUCUUACAAGCUUUUAUAGUGUGCGAUCAAUUAGUCUUUUCACAAUUCCAUCACUAGAAAACCACUCUUCCUUAAAAUUCAAUUGAUAGGUAGGUUUAAAGAUAUUUUUCUUUAAGAUAUUUUUCUGUUUUUUUUUUGUUAUUCUUUUAAUUUGCUUCUAUUUCAUUUACCCACGAUAUUUAUUCGUUGCAAUCCUGAGGCUUAUAGAUCGGCCUAAAGCUUUUGUUUCCGGAAUUUUUUAAAAAAUUUUGUUUUCCCUGGCAAUCAGGUUAGAUUAUUCACCUUUUGGAUGCUUCUUUUUUUUCGUUUUUAUUUUAUAUUAUAUCACCUUUUUUAAGGAAUCUAAGUUUGUGCUGGGUGAAUUUUGGAAACACUAAUCUGUAUAUGCAAAUUUGUAGAAAGGGUAGAGAUUUAGGGCCGUGUUCUGACGUGUUGGCAAAUUUUGCAAUUAAUUUUAUUAAAUUUUCAGUGUUUUUUGAAUUGCGAGCUAUGUCCCCUGAUUGCUACUACUAUGAUUAAUACUUUAAUGCUUUUUAGGCCUGGUUAUUGUUUUAUGCUAUCUUUAAGGAAUUUUGUCAAACUGAACUUUUUUUCCUUUUGAUUCUUCCAUCUCCUCCUUUCUUUUUAUCUUUUCGUCAACCUUCCUUCCUUUCUUGUUGAAUAAGAGGAGAUAGAUUGAUGUAGUUUUUUUUAUUUAGUAGAUAUGAAUACUUUUCAAAUGGUUUUGAAUAUCUUAAGAGAUGGUUAAGUUCGAGUCAGCUAUAGAUACUGUCAUUUUAAAUUUGCUUGAUCUGGUAAAUUUUGUGGUUGAAUGUAUAUUAAAGAGAGAUUUGAGAUGACAAUUCAUAUAUCAUAUCACAGAAAAACGUUUCAUUUUUAUCAACUCAUGAUUAAUUAUUAAAUGGGUCAACAUCCUUAAGCUUACUUUGUUAUAUGCUUAUUAAAAUGGAGUUCUGUAAAACCGUUUAAUUUCUUUAUUUUUUUGGGGGAUUAGGACUCGAGGUUAUUAAAAAUGAAGAUUUUGUUCCAUGUUUUUUCUUUAUUUAUUACUGAAAUGAAAGUUUCUUUCUUCUGGUGUUAAAUGACCCAAAAUGAAUAAGUUCUUUUCAGCUGGAAGGCAAAAUUCUAAUAAGUUCUUUUCCUUCUCUUCUCUUUUGGCCUCAGAUCUUUUCUUGUUUUUACCGAGACUUCCUCCUUGUCAUGGUUUUGGAGAUUGCAGGAGGAGUCAUGGAUGAACUUGCAAGCCCUAUAAGUCCAGUUUUGGAGAUUUGGAGAUUGCAGGAGGAGUCAUGGAUGAACUUGCAAGCCCUAUAAGUCCAGUUUUGGAGAUUUGGAGAUUGCAGGAGGAGUCAUGGAUGAACUUGCAGGAGGAGUCAUUGUGUUUCUGCCUUUGCCACUAUUUGAUGUUUAUGCUGCACUUAUUGAGCUGCUCAUGUUUAUUCGGAAACUAGGAGGGUGCAUGCUUUCAAUGACGUUAUGUCAUCAAAUCUAAGGUUUAGUCACACAAAAUUCUAAAUCAACUGGAUAUGGGUCGCAGGGUCAGUGUGGGUGGUGGUCAACUGGAUAUAGUCUAAGAUCUAUAUAUGAUCUUGCUUGCUUAGAGGAUGAAGUUGAUUUCCUCACAGCUCAAUCAGAGCAAGACCGACUGAAAAGGAAUAAUGUCAAAUUCUGGCAUGUUUUUCGAUCAAAGAAAAUCAAAUUGGCUUUCCUUGUUGGAGGAGGACUUCUGGUAAAAAAGUUCACAAAUGUUUCCGAAACAAUUAUGUAUUAUCUAAGGGAAGGAAGUUUAAGAGGGCUAGAGGAAAGAAGAAUAGCAAAGGACUUAUGAUUUAAGUUGUAUUGUUUCUGUAUUUUUCUUCAGUUUUUAGUUUUAGAAUUUGAACUCGAGAUUUAUUUUGUAUUGGAGUAUUAGUUUUUUAAUGUAU